UUAAGAAUGGUCUUCCAAGUAGGAUAUCAGAGGUGGUGUUGCUCUUGUCUUCCUCCAUGUCAAUAACAUAAAAAUCUGCUGGAAAGACUAAUUGGUCCACUUGCACCAACACAUCUUCUAGCACUCCUUUGGGGUAGACAAUGGAUCGGUCAGCUAAUUGGAUCACAAUGCUGGUGCCCUUGAGUGUACCUGCAUUUAACAGGUUAAAAAUGGAAAGAGGCAUGACAUUUAUUGAAGCUCCAAGGUCACACAUGGCCUUCUUUAUCCC
rnacentral:lncRNA from 1 species